GCGCCUACCUCGGGGUGCCGGUACACAGUGUGCGGGCUGAGAUGCGCGAAUGCGAACCCGUUGAACCUGAACCGGUUAAGACCGGCGGAGGGAAGGUCCGUGGAAUGCUC
rfam:Phaeobacter sp. CECT 7735 genome assembly, contig: 0004